GCAUGCCCUGAUUCCCCCAACCCUUCUAGAUGUAUUCAUCUAGAAGUUAUCAGUUUGAGUGACUCCAGUGACUAACUGUAGAGGAAAAGGAGAGGUUUCGAAGAUGUCCAGGUCCAACCCAAAACCUUGAAUUCCACCCAGAAACAUAAUGAAAGCCAG